ensembl:lincRNA 4930465M20Rik RIKEN cDNA 4930465M20 gene
GACAACUCAUCCUGGUAACAUGUCCUGUGGACACCCAGAGGGACCCCAGAUCUACUCAGCCAGCAGGAGGCUAACCUUAACACCUGGGACUCUCCAGUGCCCAGGGCCAGGGCCUCAAGAAUUUUACCCACGAAAGUCUUAUCUGGGAUCUACAUGUAAUCCAGCCUGACAGGACGGUACCAGGUCCCAGCAUCUCCCCAUGAACUGAUCCCACCUGCGGGUGGCCAGGGACAGAUCUUGCAGGUCAGGCAGGAGUGGGUCUACUGUUUCUGCUUCCCAGGCAGACGUGUGUGGAGCAAGACUGUUUAUAGACAACGCCUUGCUGUAGCCAGAGGUGGUGGCUUAGCAGCAGCAGGAACGCCCUCCCUCAUUGCUUCACAAGCUCUCAGUUUCAGCGAACAAUGCGCUGGGGUCGACUGCACAGCUCAGCUUUGGUGAACACUGUUCUGGGAUCGACUGCUCAGCUCGACUCCUGUGAACAGUGCUCUGGGGUCAAUUGCACAGUUCAGCUUUGGUAAAGCCUGCUUUGGGAUCGACUGCACAGCUCAGUUUCGGCAAACAAUGCUCUGGGGUCAACUGCACAGCUCAGCGUUGGUGAACAGUGCCCUGGGGUUGACUGCACAGCUCAGCUUUGGUGAACAGUGCUCCUGUGGACCCUAAAUAUCCUGAUUCUUAUCAAGGAUGUGUAGCCGUGUGACUUGGACAGGGCUCCAUACCUCAACUCUCGCUCUCUCUCUGCUCCUUUCAAAUAAACAGCGUGGAAUGCUGGGCUCAGGAUGAUAGGAUGGGACAGGCUUAUUAUGUCAACUUAAAGAAGGUUCGAGGGUUGAGGCCACAGCUGUCUGGCUUCUCCAGGACUCACCCCAAGACAAACACAAGAGUGGGCUCUCAUUUUUCCCUUCUUGUGUCGAAUCAGAAGCGGGCUACCACAUCAUCACCCCAACUCUGAGAAACGAGUUUCACAGAGACAACUCUUCCUGCAGGCCUUCCUUCCCAAGAAGGGGGAAGCACAGAGGAGAGAGUGGAAAAAAAAGGCAGGAAGGGGGCUUGGCAGCCAGCAGCCCUGGCGCUCGACACUGGAGGCUUAACAUCAAAUGCAGGGAGAAAUCCAUUUCCACGGCGCUAUUGGCCAUCUCGGACGCCUCGUUUCAAAGAGAAAGAUUUGAAUUCAGAGACGGUGCACUCCCUUUGUUCUCUUGCCCUGCAGCCUUUGGUGCCAGUGUGGACGGUACCACAGGGACAGGGUGAGAUCAAACCCCCUCUCCUUCCGUUACCUGCCCCCAGAGCUGGCCCUUGGCAUGCCUAAUGAAAUCAGCUUGACUAUAGGUUGACAAUGCCCUGUCAAUUAUAAUCAUUUAUCUUGGCAAGCAGAGUAUCUGAACACUUGAAAGAGCAGGGGUUCAGCAGACCCAGCAAAACCAGAAUAAAAUUAUACUGCAUGCUAA